AUUGAACGCUGGCGGCAUGCCUUACACAUGCAAGUCGAACGGCAGCGGGGGAGAAGCUUGCUUUUCCUGCCGGCGAGUGGCGAACGGGUGAGUAAUACAUCGGAACGUGCCCUGUAGUGGGGGAUAACUAGUCGAAAGAUUAGCUAAUACCGCAUACGACCUGAGGGUGAAAGUGGGGGACCGCAAGGCCUCAUGCUAUAGGAGCGGCCGAUGUCUGAUUGGCUAGUUGGUGGGGUAAAGGCCUACCAAGGCGACGAUCAGUAGCUGGUCUGAGGGGACGAUCAGCCACACUGGGACUGAGACACGGCCCAGACUCCUACGGGAGGCAGCAGUGGGGAAUUUUGGACAAUGGGCGAAAGCCUGAUCCAGCAAUGCCGCGUGUGUGAAGAAGGCCUUCGGGUUGUAAAGCACUUUUGUCCGGAAAGAAAUGGCUCUGGUUAAUACCUGGGGUCGAUGACGGUACCGGAAGAAUAAGGACCGGCUAACUACGUGCCAGCCGCCGCCGCAG
rnacentral:rRNA from 1 species